ensembl:lncRNA
CCAUUAAAGAAGCUGCCCGAAGGUUGUUUCUUGGCUCAACUUAGCUUUAUCUCUAAGAAUCUGCCUGCAAUGCGGGAGACCCAGGUUGGGUCUCCUGACUCAAUCCCUGGGUCGGGAACAUCUCCCGGAGAAGGAAAUGGCAACCCUCUCCAGUAUUCUUGCCUGGAGAAUUCCACAGACAGGGGAGCCUGGUGGGUUCUAAUCCAUGGAAUUGAAGAGUGGGACACGACUGAGCUGUCUGUGGAAUCCUGCUGCAGCCUCACUUUCUACGCCAGCUCACCAGCAUACCAGAGAUUGGUCACUGUGUCACAAUCACAGUGAGGAUCUAGUUCAAAUAGCCUUCUGAGACUCUGCCGACCCUCCUCCCCUUCUCCUGGGUCCUCCCUUCUCAGGGGACUGAACAGUGACUUCCCCUGUACUCUCAACGUGAUAUGCUGUGGGGUGCUUCCAGUGCCUGCUGCCUUCCUGUCUGGUUCUCCAAAGACAAGCCUCCCUCUGCCCAAGGUGGGUCCCAGUAGGGAGACGCUUGGGCAUUGGAGAUUGGCAAAAUCUGGCCAGAUCUCUGGGCUCCUGCAUCCAAGUGGACCACAUGCUUGUCUCUGAUGUUCACAGCUGGUUCCAGGCACCUGACUCCUGACAGUCAAACUCAUGAGAGACUGAAACACCUCAACUGGCCUUUCACAUUUUUAAGUUGGGUGUGCUUGUAGGGUGGGGAGAAACUAUGUAUCUCCAGUGACCAAAAUAUUUGCACCUGUUACCCAGAGCAAUCUUUUAUUUUCAACGGAAAGAAACUGACAUGCCAAAGGCAUUUAAACUUCAGGGGAGGGUCUGCUGUCAGUGGCCUGGCCAGAGGCAGAAGGAUGUCAGAGUCCCACCAGGCCUCAGGGAAGAAGCAAGAUUUACGAGGUGAGAGCCCGCCUGGGCCGCCUCUGUUGGAAAGGCCUCCCUGCAGUAUUUUCUGUCUCAUCAACGCUGCAUUUCAUUUUAAAUUGCAGCUGAAAGCGGAUAUUUUCCCUCUUGCCUAUUACACCUCUUAAUUUGUCUCUCCCUCUGCUGUUAUUUGUCUCUAUAAAGUGUUUUGCAUGAAAGACC